rnacentral:rRNA from 1 species
AACGAACGCUGGCGGCGUGGAUAAGGCAUGCAAGUCGAACGAGAGAAUUGCUAGCUUGCUAAUAAUUCUCUAGUGGCGCACGGGUGAGUAACACGUGAGUGACCUGCCCCCGACGAGCGGGAGUAGCCCUCGGGAAACGUAGGGAGUUAAUACCGCAUAGUAUCGAAAGAUUAAAGCAGCAAUGCGCUUGGGGAUGGGCUCGCGGCCUAUUAGUUAGUUGGUGAGGUAACGGCUCACCAAGGCGAUGACGGGUAGCCGGUCUGAGAGGAUGUCCGGCCACACUGGAACUGAGACACGGUCCAGACACCUACGGGUGGCAGCAGUCGAGAAUCAUUCACAA